UACGAAGGGGGCUAGCGUUGUUCGGAAUUACUGGGCGUAAAGGGUGCGUAGGCGGGUCUUUAAGUCAGAGGUGAAAUCCUGGAGCUCAACUCCAGAACUGCCUUUGAUACUGAGGAUCUUGAGUUCGGGAGAGGUGAGUGGAACUGCGAGUGUAGAGGUGAAAUUCGUAGAUAUUCGCAAGAACACCAGUGGCGAAGGCGGCUCACUGGCCCGAUACUGACGCUGAGGCACGAAAGCGUGGGGAGCAAACAGG
rnacentral:rRNA from 1 species